UACGUAGGGUGCAAGCGUUGUCCGGAAUUAUUGGGCGUAAAGAGCUUGUAGGCGGUUUGUCGCGUCUGCUGUGAAAUUUCGGGGCUCAACCCCGAACUUGCAGUGGGUACGGGCAGACUAGAGUGUGGUAGGGGAGACUGGAAUUCCUGGUGUAGCGGUGAAAUGCGCAGAUAUCAGGAGGAACACCGAUGGCGAAGGCAGGUCUCUGGGCCACUACUGACGCUGAGAUUCGAAAGCGUGGGUAGCAAACAGG
rnacentral:rRNA from 1 species